UAGAGUUCCGCGAGUUCUGCCGUAGCAGCAAUCCAUAGCUGAACUAUAAGGCAAAUUUUAAAACGACGGAUCGGGUUAUAGAGCGAUUGCAAUGAAAUACAAAGUUACGAUUGAGACUGCCAUCGCUGUUACCAAAUAUUCAAUCCUUCCAACUUGUUGCUGGCCACCCCCGAUUGGAGCGAAUAAAUGGGCUGUCCGACGGUAUAAUAUUUGUGGUUGGUUAGCAAUGGUUCUCGUGGUAAUCAACCUGCUUUCUAUCAUUUACAAUAUCUACUUGAACAGAAAUGAUAUCGACAGAUGCAUAAAAAUUUUGGCAGAAAUGGGAGCCAUUACGGCGACAUGCAUAAAAAUACUAAUCUGCAAAAAAGAACGACUUCGUCUUCAGGUUUUGGUAGCUGAAAUGGAGAAUUUCAUAAAGCAAGCUACUGGCGAGGAGAAAGAAUUAAUUCAGGCCUACGUCGAUAGAUGUUUCGUUUUACACACGACUGUUUUUGUCGGCUGUAUCCUCGGCCCAAUAGUUUUCAUCGCUGGCCCUAUUUUCCAGCCACAACCAUUUCCGGCUGAUGUUGCUUACCCAUUCGAGGUGAACUCAACUUGGCUGUGGCUCUGCAUGUAUGUUAUGCAGAGUAUUUCCAUCUUCCACGUUGGAAGCAUGGUCAUGGUAGACUUUUUGUAUGCCAUGUUAUUGUGGUACGCAGGCCUAAGGUUUGAGUUGCUAAAUCUGGAGUUCCAAAAAGUAACUAACACGAACGAAUUACGCGGCUGUGUAGGGAAGUAUCAAAAAUUAAUAAGAUACACGGAGAAUUUGACGGCCACUACUCGUAUUAUAGCCGUAGAAAUUACGAGCCUCGCCAUUUUUGCCGUCUCAACCGGAGGUUUCGUAAUUAUUCGGCCCUCGGGUAAAUACGACUUGGUAAAGUUCAUUUUCUUCGAGGUAGUAUCGACAAUGGAGCUUCUUUUAUAUUCAUGGCCUGCGGACCAUUUGAUGAAAGUGAGCGAAGAAGUAGGCGCCUCUGUUUUCAACAGCGAUUGGAUCGGCAAACCACCAACAAUGCUUAGAAACAUGCUGUCGAUUAUGCAACGAUCGCAACGACCAGUUGUUAUUUAUGUUGACGGUCUAGUUCCAAUAUUAUCGCUUGCGUUUUAUGGAUCUACUAUGUUGGCAAGUUUUUCAUACCUCACAACGCUACGUACAAUAGCUGAUGACUAAUGGCGGUAAACUAAGAAUGAUUAAAUACCGUCGUGAGGGCGUUUACGCUAUGUAAACAUUUAGCGGAAAAUACCAUAGCACUCCCAAAUCGCUACAUCAACUACUCGAUACCUGCUCAACUUAAAGAAAUUUGCAUCACCUGAACAAUUCCCCUGAGUUAAGUUUGAAUGCUGAAGCUUGAGAUGGCCAGCCUGCGUGAUAAAACGAUAAAGCUCCCAUAUACGCAGUCAAUGGCUCAAUCAUCUAAGCUUCACCGUUCCUCUCGGUAUGUGAAAAUAAAUAGUGAUAAUAAUUGAGCAAUCACAGUAAAUAAAAUAAAAUCCGAAAUUCUUACGAA